rnacentral:rRNA from 1 species
CACGUAGGGCGCGAGCGUUGUCCGGAAUUAUUGGGCGUAAAGAGCUCGUAGGCGGUGUGUCACGUCGUUCGUGAAAACCUGCAGCUUAACUGUGGGCGUGCGGUCGAUACGGGCAUCACUGGAGUUCGGCAGGGGAGACUGGAAUUCCUGGUGUAGCGGUGAAAUGCGCAGAUAUCAGGAGGAGUACCAGUGGCGAAAGCGGCACCCUAGCAUUUUUCUGACGCUCAUGUGCGAAAGCGUGGGGAGCGAACGGG